UACUCGAGUGGCGAACGGGUGAGUAACACGUGGGUGAUCUGCCCUGCACUUCGGGAUAAGCUUGGGAAACUGGGUCUAAUACCGGAUAGGACCGCACUUUAGUGUGUGUGGUGGAAAGUUUUUUCGGUGUAGGAUGAGCUCGCGGCCUAUCAGCUUGUUGGUGGGGUAAUGGCCUACCAAGGCGGCGAGGGGUAGCCGGCCUGAGAGGGUGUACGGCCACAUUGGGACUGAGAUACGGCCCAG
rnacentral:rRNA from 1 species